GUCCGUGGCCUAAUGGAUAAGGCGUCUGACUUCGAAUCAGAAGAUUGCAGGUUCAAUCCUGUCGCGGACG
rnacentral:tRNA from 1 species